AGUGAACGCUGGCGGUAGGCCUAACACAUGCAAGUCGAACGGCAGCACAGUGAGAGCUUGCUCUUACGGGUGGCGAGUGGCGGACGGGUGAGGAAUACAUCGGAAUCUACUUUUUCGUGGGGGAUAACGUAGGGAAACUUACGCUAAUACCGCAUACGACCUACGGGUGAAAGCAGGGGAUCUUCGGACCUUGCGCGACUGAAUGAGCCGAUGUCGGAUUAGCUAGUUGGCGGGGUAAAGGCCCACCAAGGCGACGAUCCGUAGCUGAUCUGAGAGGAUGAUCAGCCACACUGGAACUGAGACACGGUCCAGACUCCUACGGGAGGCAGCAGUGGGGAAUAUUGGACAAUGGGCGCAAGCCUGAUCCAGCAAUACCGCGUGGGUGAAGAAGGCCUUCGGGUUGUAAAGCCCUUUUGUUGGGAAAGAAAAGCAGCAGGUUAAUACCCCGCUGUUCUGACGGUACCCAAAGAAUAAGCACCGGCUAACUUCGUG
rnacentral:rRNA from 1 species